rnacentral:lncRNA from 1 species
GGGACCCCUUCCCACUGGGCACUGGACCCCUUCUCACUGGGUGCUGGGGGCUUCUCGCUGGGCGCUGAGGGACCCUCCUCACUGGGUACUGGGACCCCUCCUCACUGGGCGCUGAGGGACCCUCCUCAGGGGGUGCUGGGACCCCUCCUCACUGGGCGCUGAGGGACCCUCCUCACUGGGUGCUGGGACCUCCACCUCACUGGGCACUGGGAUCCCUUCUUACUGGGUGUUGGGGGCCUUCCUCACUGGGCGUUGAGGGCCCCUCACCACUGUGUCCUGGGGCCCCUCACCGGCCUAACCGUUUCCUUCUCUUGCCCUCAGCCAUCCUCAAUGCGGCCAGGAUACCUGUUCCCCCAGCCUGUGGGAAGCCCCAGCAGCUGAACCGGGUUGUGGGCGGCGAGGACAGCACUGACAGCGAGUGGCCCUGGAUCGUGAGCAUCCAGAAGAAUGGGACCCACCACUGCGCAGGUUCUCUGCUCACCAGCCGCUGGGUGAUCACUGCUGCCCACUGUUUCAAGGAGUAUGUACAGCCGGCCUGGGGCACUUGAUCUUCUAAGGCCCUGGGCUUUGUGCCCCAGGCCCUGGGCUCCCUUUACAGGCUCUGCUUCCGGGCCUCUGUUCAAUCUUGGUGCCCCUCGAUUCUACCUAGAAGCCUCUCCUGCCUUCAGGGGCCUUCACACCCAUGCUGUUCCCCCAGGUACCUCCUCCCAGACCAGGCCUGGCUGAUCCUCCCCUUCCCUUUCCUUCCAGCAACCUGAACAAACCAUACCUGUUCUCUGUGCUGC